CGGCAUGAAAGGCGGCGAGGAGAGGCAGCACUGCUGCUCUUGACUUCUGAGCAGGGCUUAGAGAGCCUGCCCCGGCUUAAGCCGAGCUGCUGGUGCUGACCCUGAGCGCCGAGUCCGCGAGCUCUGAGUCCGGAGCCUCCCAGCCGUGGAGCCGUGGGAUGAGGGGGGCGUUGGGGGACAGGGCAAAGUCGAUCUUGGUUGUACAGCCGCCCGAUCCUAGCGCGGAGCUGCGAGCCUGACCGGCCGCGUCUGGCAUGGUCAGAGAAAGAAUUUUCUUUUCCCAACUCCGGCUUUUGGUUUUGUGUGUCCACCUUGCGCAACUCCGGAGCCAGCCGACCCCACAUGGAUUCUCAACAGGUGGCCGGGAAAGUCUGGAGACUCACCAAGCUGAGGAGGAAGAAGGGAACAUCUCAACCCAAGCUGAAUUCUGAAGAACACUUGGCCCCAUCUUCCAGAAAUCCUAAAUCACAUAGAGGGAAAGUUUUGGCCAGGGCACCAAGAAUGAACCAGAAGCUGAGUCCAUUACUCCAAUUUUCACAUUAACCAGGAGACACAUUGAAAAUUCUUUUCUUGAGUGAGAGACUGAAAUUUUGGCUCAAGGGUGUUUCUGUUGGGUCUUCUCUUUAUAUGGCAUGUGAGGACUGCAUCCCACGUCACAUCUGCAGCCACUCCCAGAUUACACUGCAAGGGAGGGUAGAUUAGGAGUGGGUAGGGAGUAGAGGGGUCUGUAGACACAGCAAAAGCAGCAAGCUGGUGUGGGAAAACCCAGAAAAUAUGUCUCAGAGACAGCCAGUGGCUGCACAUACAAAAGGAAGGCACCUACCUGGAAGAGAAGGGGUUGUGAAGUUCUGCCCAGAGUCACAGCGCUGACGUCCUCAGAAGGUCUCCAGCCCUCUGCAGCAAUCUAUAGUAUGCAUCAGUAUGGUUGGAAAAGCUUCUUCUAUCAAGUUUAACAACUUUCUGGUGUAACUUCUGAGAGGGCUGAUUGCUUAUUCAUGCGGAAGCAAGACGCCCAGUUCAUUUUGCCCGUUUUUGCUACUCUUUGUUGGGUUUGGGAGGCUGUUAUGGUAGCUGCAAAUGGCUUCUCAAGUGACAUUUGCUGACAUUCAGUGAAGUACAUUUAUCAGUAUUCGCCAGCUCACCUCUACACAUGCAAUCCAUUUUGUUUUGUUCUUCAUAGCAAACUCCUUUCCGACACCCGUGCCCUGAAAAUGAUAAAUGGCAAGGUGGCAUAUUUCUGAAGCUGCACUCAAGUGUCACUGUGAAAAAUCUUUAAUGGACUAAGUGUAGCUUUUCAUGUUACAGCUUGUCAGGUUUGAUCUCCUGUCUCUUGGGUUGAGAAACCAUCCCCUCUGACUCCUGGCCCCCUGUGACCCCUCCAAAGCCCCCUGUACAGGUCUUUGGCCACACAGAGAUUCAACAGUCUAAUAAUCUAAAAUUGUAAAUGCCACAA
rnacentral:lncRNA from 1 species